GGCGUAAAUAUAAAAUUUUGGUCCUGGUAUCUGUGAUGAGUUUAUUUGCAACCACUGGGUCGAUGCCACUGCUGGUGGAGAUUUAUUUCCCCGAGGGUAUCACCAGCCCAGUAGUCAGUACUUCUGUGUUGACUUGAGUUAUCAUUGAUAUGUUCAUAAUUAUAAUUUAACUGUUAACAUAACUUUGAAUUAUUGAAAAACUAAGGCUUUUCUACCUCAGGAAUAGAUUACCUUAGCUGUAUUUGGCAAAACUUUUAGGAAUUUUUGGUCCUCAAUGCUCUUCAACUUCUAACUUUAUUUUGCCUUUU
rnacentral:lncRNA from 1 species